ensembl:lncRNA
GUCAGUCUAAAUAGGAAAUCAAUCAACAUCCUGUAAGAAUCUAAAAUAAAGUGGGGGAUGGGAGUGGGAGGAACACAGAAGGGCAUUUUUUUUCUCAACUUUUGCAUUGCUCAGUCUUCCUCUGACACAGCCAUAAGCCAGCAAACACGAUCUACAAAAGGAAUUUACGGUCAACACUGAAACCGGAACCUUAAAGCUAGGAAAUGUUUCUUCCGGGCAUAUUUACCACAGUAGCGGAUAUAUAAAAAUUUGACGAGGACCUUGCACCAAGAUGCCAGAGACUGUCCUUGGCUUAGCCUGUCUCCUGCUUUGUACCAGUGUUCUCCAAAUCGGUUCAUCAGAAAGCUGCAAACUCAAAGUGAAGAUGCUGAAUAACACGGUCCACCAAGUCUCAUGCUUCAACAAAAUGCGUGGAGAAGAAUGUGCGAUCGGUCGCACGACCAGCUACUGUAACAUCGAGGAAAAAAACGGACAUAUAUGCAUCAAAUGGACUGAUGCCGAUAUGACGUGCAGGAAAAUGGAUCAAGAGCUUUCAAAAGUCCCCCUUGAGAACGGAAAAUGUGCUCAGGAUCAAGAGAGUGAGUCAAGUGUUCUGUUCUUGCAUUUUUCUUAAUACUACACGUAAUAAUUCAGUAAGACAGCUGAAUAUUAAAUCCCGUUUCUAGGUUUGGACUGCAUCAGAGAGUUUACAGACCCUGGUAAAGUUUACCAACACAAACAUUGUCACUUCUUACUCCUACGUUAAAGGCUUCUUAAAGUUGGCUUUCUGACGCAUUUUCAUUCUUCUUUUUUUUUUAACAUGUGCUUUCUUCUUUUCAACACGUUUUUAUUCUUGUAUUGUCGGUUUAGGUGAUGCAAAGAAUAAUGCGCUCCAUGUGACCACAUGCCUAGAAGGUAAGAUAUUCACUGUUCAAUAAAUGUAUGAAUGCACUUAUGACUACGCAAUGCCUACCUUUACACAUUAAUGACUUCUGUGGUUUCUUUCAGGUCUACAUCUGAUGCUUCUUCCUCUUUUUUUUUUUUGUUUAAGUAAGUUUUGUUUCAGUGUUUAAGUGCAGCUGUACUUUAUUGAAAUCUUUCCAUGUUUACUCUCACACCACUACAUUUCAAAGUCAAAAAUCUUUUUCCCUUUUUUUUUACUCCAGAACAUUAUGCAAAAAUCUAAGUUUGUGCUUUGUUUUGUGAAAUUUUGGCAUUAUCUAUUCAACAUAAAUAUUUUUCUUAAUUAUAAAACACUAUUUCAUUUUCUAGUAAAUUUGUUUAGGCUAGUUUAUGUUUAUAUACAGAACCCUACAGAUCAAUAUACUAAAGGAAAUCUCAUUUGAAGUAGGUUGUUAUUAAACUUAAACUUGUAACAAUAAAUUGCAAUAAAGUGCAAUAAAAACUUAAACUGAAACUUGUUUGUUAAAAGUGAUGGAAACUGUUUACCUUCAGUGUUUUGUGCUUAUGAUCAUUUUAAUACACGUCAGCUUCACUAAUUAAUGACGUUCUAUUAAAAGACUGGUUUACCAAGAGAGACGCUGGAGGAUUUUCACCUAAAAUGAAUUCAUGAAGCCAGUCUUGUUACAAAAAUAGUAAUGGGACAUGAAGGUUAAUCUUUUAGUACUUUUACUUCAGUACAUUUGAAGGGAAAUACUUUUGUACUUUUACUCAAGUGGAGGUCUAAAGGGAGGAACUUCUACUGGAGUAGUGUUUUACUUUGGGUGUCUCUGCUUUAACUCAAGUACAUGAAGUGUGUACUUCUUCCACCACUGAUAAUCAAGUCAUAAUCAUCAAUCACGAUAACAAUCAUGUCAUUUAAAAAUGACCGACUCAUUCUGCAGAUUUUACCAAAUUUGAGCAAUUAAAAUGUAAACAAUUCAGAGACGUUGAGGGUGGUCUGAGGUCAAACGUUGCAUUCUAGGUAAGUUUAAUGUAGCUAGUGUCCGGCUAGCGGCUCGUCCUGCCGCAGACGAGCGAAAGGCGACCCGUGAGCGCUGAGCAGCACAGGUAGCUUUAGCUACCCGCCGUAUCAGUGAGAGACGUAAACACAUGUACCCAGUUGUGGGCUGGGAGCUGUGUAGACUCUUGUAUCGGUCUGUUGGGCUGGUUGGUGGGGUUUAGCGUCGUGUGUGGCUCUUGCUGACCUGUCCUGCUGCGGAACGCAGAUAAGAGAUCGAUCAACGCGCUAAGGUUCCCACCUUCUGCUUCUCCUACACCGACUCUAGACUGGUAGCGACAGAAACCAAACAAUUUACACACAAUGCAUUUAAAGGAAUAAUUCGGCGAAAUGUCACAUUCGCUCGACUUACAUCAGAAGCUGUCGAUCAGCCAAGACAGUUGAUCCCCGAGCUCUGCUCUAGUGUACAGCGGGAGACGCUAGGCUAACACUGCUAACAAGCGCUAAUGCUGGAUUGUCACUAAACUCAACCCCGUAAAUAUAUGCCCCCGAAACGUCCUUCAACCCGCUCAAAUCACAUCUUAAUUUGUUUCACAGAGACACGCUGAAGAGGUUUAAAGCACAGUAUGUACUUAUUUUAGUCUUUAAAAACAAAAACCUCUCAGCAAAAGUGGACAGUGAGUAAGUAACCGGAGCCACUGUUGCCUCAGUGCAAUAUGUGGUAUCAUUCCGCAGCGGAAGGCGAACGCGACAGGGGAACUGAGCUUUUGUGCGUUUGAGAUGAAAGCAAGUGGUCCUCUUUCACCAAUAACUUCUUAUACAAAGCGGGCGUUAAUAAGGGCUAUAUGUACCGGAAGCUAGCGCAUGAAUGUACGCAAUAUCUUCCACUCAGUGGUGAACAAACCUUAUUUUUACUCCGAUUUACCUCAAUUUUAGCAUUUUCAGCAUUACAUGUAAAACCGAAGACACUGGUUGCAUUGCAGUCAUCUCAAGCCCUGGUUCCCGUCAUCACCACUGUAGAGAAAUCUGAGUCUAUAAGUUUAUCUAGUGAACCAUUUCACAUCAGACCACUCUGAAUGACUUUGUUAGCACGUUAACGAUUUCCUUAUACAGCAAUUUUGAAAAAUCGGUGUAGUUUCCUUUCAAGCCAUGCCUUAAUACUUAAUACUUAAUAUAGAUACUUAUAGAUACAUAUGCUUUUUGACUUUCACUGACAUUCAAGUAUAUUUUUUAUUUUUAUAUUUUUUCUAUACUUCUGCUUUCAUUUUGGCACAGUCCUCAAACCUUUAUUUAAGUAUAGUUUUUCAGUGUUUUUUCCACCCCUGGCAGUGAGAAGAGUAGAGAAGAAAUGUGUCAUCAGAUUGUCUUUUUUUUUCCACACUGAUGAAUUAACAAGUGAACUCUAAGAGACCAGUCUAAUUGUCAACACACUGUGUCUUGACAUUUGUUUACUAUCCAUAUUCUCUUAAGUGAGAAGAGGUCUGAAAAAAUUUCAUAUUUUCAUGUUUUUUUGUUAAUAUUAUUCUGUUUUCAUAAGCAUUUACCACAGUACCUUCUGUAAGCUGAUUUUCUUUGCUGACUCAUCUGUUACUGGUGUUUGUCUGUUUCCAUUACAAAUACAAAUGUAUCAGUUCCUUUUAAGUGUGUCAUUCCACUGUUUUUUAAGUGUGUCAUUCCACUGUUCCAUUCCAAUGUUGCACCCUCC